UCACUUGAAGAUGUGGCGCCGCCAGCUCCCUAGGUUGCCAUCGUUGAUCCGCCUCUUGAGGGCACGUCUACUGAAGCUCCCCCAACGGUGAGUACCGAAGGUACUGUAACUGCGAAUGUGGCGAGUACCCAGCCGUCUAUGGACGACAGCAAGAAAGCAUCUGGUCCAGACCACACGGCCAUCAAAGAGUUACCUGAUGCUGAGGCCUCAUAUAUUCAGCAGUUAGUGCUUACACAAGUCUCGAGGACAAGCUUGGCGUUUGAGGAUCAGGGGUCGAAGAAAAUUGAAAUCAUUGAGAGCCCCCCGGAAGAGCUACCGGCUAUCACCGACUUUAUGGAUUUGAGUCGCCGUUUAAUUGAUUAUACUUAGAAUUUGCAUGAGAAAUCCUGCAAGAACAUCCAGAUUAUUCAAGAGCGGAAUGAAGCUGCACAUCGCAUAGCAUUGCUAGAGAAGGAUAUAACCAAAGAGUGUUGUCGUAUGGCCGAGUACCUCAAAAAGUAUGAGCAUGUUGUUGAGUCGUUCCAAAUAGAAACAGCAGAAUUUUGAGGUUGAGAAGGACCGUGUCUUGGCAUGUAACAAGUCGUUGCAUCGCCAACUUGGGGAGAUGAAAGGUCAAGAAAUCAAGUUCCAGAGCCAAGUGAUCGACUGGAAGAAUGCACAUUGCCACCUUUUAGAAGAGCAUUAAGAACUCAAAGCUCGCCUGGAGAAGGUUGAAAAAGACCUCGAAAAGUAGACCAAGAUGCGGCGUGACUUUGCAGUCGGGCUAGCUGAAGCCAUGACAACUAUCAGAAGCCAGAAGGAGCAUGUGAAGGAGCAGUAGGAGCAUCUGAAAGAGCAGCGGCGUCUCCAGGAGUUGACGGAUGCAGCUCGAGUGUGGAGCCUCCCGAGGAGGGGGAUGACACCCGUCCCUUGGUUACCAGGAUGAAGGAUGCGGCUAGUAAUUUCAAUAAUCUGCUCCACAGCAUGGCGAAGACUGUGUCCAAGCAAUUACUGGCUACAGUUAAGUCAUUUUACCCUAAGGUGGACCUAUCCAUAGUCAUUGAGGGCAUGGCUGCAGAUUGCACUGACGAGGCAUACCAGCAGCAUU